rnacentral:rRNA from 1 species
AGUCGANCGGUAACAGAGGAAAGGCUUGCCUUUUCUGCUGACGAGUGGCGGACGGGUGAGUAAAGUAUGGGGAUCUGCCGAAUGGAGGGGGACAACUGCUGGAAACGGCAGCUAAUACCGCAUAAAGUUGAGAGACCAAAGCGUGGGACUUUUUAGCCACGCGCCAUUUGAUGAACCCAUAUGGGAUUAGCUUGUUGGUAGGGUAAUGGCUUACCAAGGCGACGAUCUCUAGCUGGUCUGAGAGGAUGACCAGCCACACUGGAACUGAGACACGGUCCAGACUCCUAUGGGAGGCAGCAGUGGGGGAUAUUGCACAAUGGGGGAAACCCUGAUGCAGCCAUGCCGCGUGUAUGAAGAAGGCUUUCGGGUUGUAAAGUACUUUCGGUAAUGAGGAAGGUGUAUUAUCUAACAGGUAAUGCAAUUGACGUUAGUUACAGAAGAAGCACCGGCUAACUCCGUGCCAGCAGCCGCGGUAAUACGGAGGGUGCGAGCGUUAAUCGGAAUAACUGGGCGUAAAGGGCAUGCAGGCGGGUCAUUAAGUUAGGUGUGAAAUCCCCGGGCUCAACCUGGGAACUGCACUUAAAACUGGUGGUCUGGAGUAUUGUAGAGGAAGGUAGAAUUCCACGUGUAGCGGUGAAAUGCGUAGAGAUGUGGAGGAAUACCGGUGGCGAAGGCGGCCUUCUGGACAAAUACUGACGCUGAGAUGCGAAAGCGUGGGGAGCAAACAGGAUUAGAUACCCUGGUAGUCCACGCUGUAAACGAUGUCGAUUUGGAGUUUGGUGGCAUGACUGCUGGGCUUCGAAGCUAACGCGUUAAAUCGACCGCCUGGGGAGUACGGCCGCAAGGUUAAAACUCAAAUGAAUUGACGGGGGCCCGCACAAGCGGUGGAGCAUGUGGUUUAAUUCGAUGCAACGCGAAGAACCUUACCUGGUCUUGACAUCCACAGAAUUCUGUAGAGAUACGGGAGUGCCUUAGGGAGCUGUGAGACAGGUGCUGCAUGGCUGUCGUCAGCUCGUGUUGUGAAAUGUUGGGUUAAGUCCCGCAACGAGCGC